UACGUAGGGUGCAAGCGUUAAUCGGAAUUACUGGGCGUAAAGCGUGCGCAGGCGGUCUUGCAAGACAGAUGUGAAAUCCCCGGGCUUAACCUGGGAACUGCAUUUGUGACUGCAAGGCUGGAGUGCGGCAGAGGGGGGAUGGAAUUCCGCGUGUAGCAGUGAAAUGCGUAGAUAUGCGGAGGAACACCGAUGGCGAAGGCAAUCCCCUGGGCCUGCACUGACGCUCAUGCACGAAAGCGUGGGGAGCAAACAGG
rnacentral:rRNA from 1 species